AAGCGUGCGCAGGCGGUUAUAUAAGACAGAUGUGAAAUCCCCGGGCUCAAACCUGGGAACUGCAUUUGUGACUGUAUAGCUGGAGUGCGGCAGAGGGGGAUGGAAUUCCGCGUGUAGCAGUGAAAUGCGUAGAUAUGCGGAGGAACACCGAUGGCGAAGGCAAUCCCCUGGGCCUGCACUGACGCUCAUGCACGAAAGCGUGGGGAGCAAACAGGAUUAGAUACCCGGGU
rnacentral:rRNA from 1 species